CAUGUACUCCCUCCGUCCGAAAAUACCUGUCGUGAAAAUGGAUGUAUCUAGACGUAUUUUAGUUUUUAAAUACAUCCAAUUUUAUCUGUUUGUGCGACAAGUAUUUCCGGACGGAGGAAGUAGGCG
rfam:Triticum aestivum genome assembly, contig: Triticum_aestivum_CS42_TGACv1_scaffold_062262_1DL